rnacentral:rRNA from 1 species
UAUCUCUGUAGAGUCUGCAUAUCAAUAAGCGGAGGAAAAGAAACUAACUAGGAUUCCCUUAGUAACGGCGAGUGAAGCGGGAAGAGCUCAAAUUUGAAAUCUUCAAGGUUUUACCUUGACGAAUUGUAGUUUAAAGAAGUGUUUUCUGUUGAAGUUUCGGUAAAAGUUCUUUGGAAUAGGACAUCAUAGAGGGUGAGAAUCCCGUAUUUGACCAUUAUUUCCAGCUGUGUGAUACACUUUCAAAGAGUCGGAUUGUUUGGGAAUGCAGUCCAAAAUGGGUGGUAAAUUUCAUCUAAAGCUAAAUACUGGCGAGAGACCGAUAGCGAACAAGUACCGUGAGGGAAAGAUGAAAAGAACUUUGAAAAGAGAGUUAAACAGUACGUGAAAUUGUCAAAAGGGAAGCGUUUGACACCAGUGUUGUUUUCUCGAAAAUCAAUUAAAAAUGGCUGGAUUUUGUGCUGUGAUUGACUUUAUCAAGCUUCACUGCUACAUCUUUUCGUGUCUUUUUUAAUGCACUUUUCGUUUAACAAGUCAACAUCAGUUUCUUUUGUUGUAAAAGAGUCAUUGGAAGGUGGCUUUCUUUUCGGAGAAAGUGUUUAUAGCCUUUGGCUUCUGCAAUCGGAGAGAUUGAGGUCUGCAGCGUAGAUCCUUCGGGGUUAGAUACAUUUGUGCUAAGUUAUAGCCUUUCAUAGACAACUUGUUGACUAUGAUCAGUCAUGUAGCUUACUCGCUUAUGCUAUUUUACCUACGCUUAGGAUGUUGAUGUGAUACUGCGAGCA